rnacentral:rRNA from 1 species
UCCUACGGGAGGCUGCAGUGGGGAAUAUUGGACAAUGGGGGCAACCCUGAUCCAGCAAUGCCGCGUGAGUGAAGAAGGCCUUAGGGUUGUAAAGCUCUUUCGCCCGUGACGAUGAUGACGGUAACGGGAGAAGAAGCCCCGGCUAAUUCCGUGCCAGCAGCCGCGGUAAUACGGAAGGGGCUAGCGUUGUUCGGAUUUACUGGGCGUAAAGCGCAUGUAGGCGGCGGAUCAAGUGGGCCGUGAAAGGCCUGGGCGCAACCUGGGAACGGCGCUUCAGACUGGUUUGCUCGAGUUCGGGAGAGGGUGGUGGAAUUCCCAGUGUAGAGGUGAAAUUCGUAGAUAUUGGGAGGAACACCGGUGGCGAAGGCGGCCACCUGGCCCGAGACUGACGCUCAAGUGCGAAAGCGUGGGGAGCAAACAGGAUUAGAUACCCUGGUAGUCAGC